rnacentral:rRNA from 1 species
GACGAACGCUGGCGGCGUGCUUAACACAUGCAAGUCGAACGGAAAGGCCCUGCUUUUGUGGGGUGCUCGAGUGGCGAACGGGUGAGUAACACGUGAGUAACCUGCCCUUGACUUUGGGAUAACUUCAGGAAACUGGGGCUAAUACCGGAUAGGAGCUCCUGCUGCAUGGUGGGGGUUGGAAAGUUUCGGCGGUUGGGGAUGGACUCGCGGCUUAUCAGCUUGUUGGUGGGGUAGUGGCUUACCAAGGCUUUGACGGGUAGCCGGCCUGAGAGGGUGACCGGCCACAUUGGGACUGAGAUACGGCCCAGACUCCUACGGGAGGCAGCAGUGGGGAAUAUUGCACAAUGGGCGGGAGCCUGAUGCAGCAACGCCGCGUGCGUGAUGACGGCCUUCGGGUUGUAAACCGCUUUCGCCUGUGACGAAGCGUGAGUGACGGUAAUGGGUAAAGAAGCACCGGCUAACUACGUG